CACACACACACGGUCACGUGCAGCCACCAAGCUAACUUGGGGUGACACUGCCCUGCAGAAGGGAUCAAGUCUUCGAGGCUCUGCUCUCUGACACUCACGUCUCUUCCAGUCUUUGAUAGCUCCUAACAUUGCUCUCCCACCAGCGGUCCGUACUGGGAAGCUGAGUUUCAGGACCUGUGUAUACCGACGCUCCCCAUGGAUGCUUACCGAAGUCGCUAUGAUUUCAUCUGAUCUACGUAUUACAUUUGAGGGGUGAUUUACUUUGGUUUUUAAAUAAAUGCCAAAGGGCUGGUGUUUCUUUCCCCUCGUUUUACUUCUCAAUUCUGAAACUCCUGAAAUCUGGCUCGUUGUGUCUACUAAAUACGCCUUCCGGGAUGGCUCUCGUCCUCUUCUGCAAUGAGAGCGCGUCUUAAACGUGACUAACACUGUCAGCAGGGAGAUCCGAAGCGGACCUGGACUUCUCUUCGGAACACACAGGAAUUCGAGUCAAGAUGUGGCCUUCCUUGGUGACUCGAAGCACAGAAUUUCCGUAUCAAUUAUUGACUGCACUCUGGCCUCAUCUGAAACAUUAGCCCUGCAGGCUGGUGACCCCAGAGGAAAGCUGCUUUGGACCAGCAGGGAAACUGGGCUCCCAGGAGGAGGAGGGUUUGUUCACUGCAGAUCUGAGACCUGGCCGCUGUCUGACCAUGGCUCCCCUCUCCCGUCACAUCGCCUUUGUUGGAAGGACCUGCAGUCCAGACACCUGCUAGCUUGAUGUGGCUGUCAGAAAGCAGGACCAUGACAGUGUUAAUGUGCUGCGGAGGAAUACCUACUAGGAGGACAGUCUGCCCGUCUUGUAAGGCUGGAAUCCCAAAUUACAGAGAACAUACAUGUUGGCGGGCUAACGAAAGGCAUUCCUAUCUUUGCCUCGAAGAAAUCCUGCAACGCUGGGAGUGGGGAUCCUGGGGGCCCAGAGAGCAGCACCCAGCAUAAGUGAACCUGACCACAGGCUUCCUGGGAUAGCACCGUGCUAAGGAGAGAAGUACCAGAGACGUCUUCUGACUCCUACACGUUUCCCAGCCCCCUCCCCCACCACGGCCACCAACACCCACCGCCUGCCAGCGGAACUGCCAACGGAGCACAUCUCUGCGCGGUGGGAAGUCACAGGACAAAAUGAGAUCUAAACUACCGAGAGCCUCUCGUACUUGCUUCCUUCUAUCACCAAGCUCAAGAAGUAGCUGCUGACUCAGCCUGGAAGGCAGGGGGCUGCCUCCCCAGGCGCUCGCGGUCUUCGCUUUGGAAGAGGAGGUGUUCUCAGAACGGCAGUGGGUCAUCACAGCCCUCUGGCGGGGUGGACAGGGUCCACGGCCAAGGGGCCUGGCAGGAGGGAGUGGGUCAUGAGCCAUACUCAAUCCCAAUGCAGCAUUACUGACAGCAAAAAUCCACGGGCCUCGAGGCUCUGGCGUUCUCUACAUGUUAAGAAUCAGGGUGCCCUUUUGGAAAAUAGAGAGGUUUCCAGAUGUGGGUUCCUGGCUGAACUACAGAGAAAUCUGUGAAUCUCUUCUCUCACUCAAACACACACACACACAUGUGCGCACACACACACUCCUAGAUGAUGGCACAUAUGGGUUUCAAACCCAGGCUUAUCCAACGCUAAUGUUUUCCCAAACUCCCUGGGUGAUUAAAAAAAAAUCCUCUUGAGUGCUUAUUAAAAAUACCAAUUCUGGGCGCCUGGGUGGCUCAGUGGGUUGGGCUGCUGCCUUCCGCUCAGUUCAUGAUCUCAGGGUCCUGGGAUCGAGUCCCGCAUCGGGCUCUGUGCUCAGCAGGGAGCCUGCUUCCUCCUCUCUCUCUCUCUCUCUGCCUGCCUCUCUGCCCACUUGUGAUCUCUCU